UCCGGUUGAUCCUGGCGGAGGUCACUGCUAUCGGUGUUCGUCUAAGCCAUGCGAGUCAUAUGUUCUUCGUGAACAUGGCAUACUGCUCAGUAACACGUGGAUAACCUGCCCUUGGGUCCGGCAUAACCCCGGGAAACUGGGGAUAAUACCGGAUAACGCAUAUAUGCUGGAAUUCUUUAUGCGUGAAACGGAUUCGUCUGCCCAAGGAUGGGUCUGCGGCCUAUCAGGUAGUAGUGGGUGUAAUGUACCUACUAGCCGACGACGGGUACGGGUUGUGAGAGCAAGAGCCCGGAGAUGGAUUCUGAGACAUGAAUCCAGGCCCUACGGGGCGCAGCAGGCGCGAAAACUUUACAAUGCGGGAAACCGUGAUAAGGGGACACCGAGUGCCAGCAUCAUAUGCUGGCUGUCCGGGUGUGUAAAAUACACCUGUUAGCAAGGGCCGGGCAAGACCGGUGCCAGCCGCCGCGGUAACACCGGCGGCCCGAGUGGUGAUCGUGAUUAUUGGGUCUAAAGGGUCCGUAGCCGGUUUGGUCAGUCCUCCGGGAAAUCUGACGGCUUAACCGUUAGGCUUUCGGGGGAUACUGCCAGACUUGGAACCGGGAGAGGUAAGAGGUACUACAGGGGUAGGAGUGAAAUCUUGUAAUCCCUGUGGGACCACCUGUGGCGAAGGCGUCUUACCAGAACGGGUUCGACGGUGAGGGACGAAAGCUGGGGGCACGAACCGGAUUAGAUACCCGGGUAGUCCCAGCCGUAAACGAUGCUCGCUAGGUGUCAGGCAUGGCGCGACCGUGUCUGGUGCCGCAGGGAAGCCGUGAAGCGAGCCACCUGGGAAGUACGGCCGCAAGGCUGAAACUUAAAGGAAUUGGCGGGGGAGCACAACAACGGGUGGAGCCUGCGGUUUAAUUGGACUCAACGCCGGACAACUCACCGGGGGCGACAGCAAUAUGUAGGUCAGGCUGAAGACCUUGCCUGAAUCGCUGAGAGGAGGUGCAUGGCCGUCGCCAGUUCGUACUGUGAAGCAUCCUGUUAAGUCAGGCAACGAGCGAGACCCA
rnacentral:rRNA from 1 species